UGCGCAGGCGGCUAUCCAAGUCAGUGGUGAAAGCCCGGAGCUCAACUCCGGAAUUGCCAUUGAAACUGUUUAGCUCGAGUACGAGAGAGGUGAGUGGAAUUCCCAGUGUAGAGGUGAAAUUCGUAGAUAUUGGGAAGAACACCGGUGGCGAAGGCGGCUCACUGGCUCGUAACUGACGCUCAUGCACGACAGCGUGGGGAUCAAACAGGAUUAGAUACCCUGGUAGUCCACGCCGUAAACGAUGAACGCUAGCCGUUGGCCAGCUUGCUGGUCAGUGGCGCAGCUAACGCAUUAAGCGUUCCGCCUGGGGAGUACGGCCGCAAGGUUGAA
rnacentral:rRNA from 1 species